UCUCAAGCAUUCAAUUGCAUUUUAAGAUAUCUUUAUUCAAAUCAAGUGUGAUUACUAUACCAAAAGAUUGAAGAAUGGACCAAUCAACUAACCCAUCAGUACUUGCAAAGUCUCCUUAUCUGUUAGCCCGAAAAUUGAUUUUUAAAAUACCAUUAUUCACAUAACUACUAUAUCAAAACACAAACUAAUGGAUUGAUCAAUGAAACUGCCGCUAUCUCCACAACUUUUCAAUUGAAUAGAAAGUUUCAAUCAAACAGGAUACUGUGUGUGCCUACUGCUCCUUAAGACAAUCGAUAAUGGGAGU